UACAGAGGGGGCGAGCGUUAUUCGGAAUUAUUGGGCGUAAAGGGCGCGUAGGCGGCCUUUCAAGUGACGGGUGAAAUCCCUCGGCUUAACCGAGGAACUGCCUGUCAGACUGGAAGGCUUGAGACCGGGGAGAGGUGAGUGGAAUUCCCAGUGUAGCGGUGAAAUGCGUAGAUAUUGGGAGGAACACCAGUGGCGAAGGCGGCUCACUGGACCGGAACUGACGCUGAGGCGCGAAAGCGUGGGGAGCAAACAGG
rnacentral:rRNA from 1 species